UAUUCUCCUUUGUUUCUGCAAUUUUACAAAUUGAUCGGAGAAGGAGGGCGCAGUCCACUGUGCUUCAAAUGUGGCAAAAGCCAUUCACAUGAAGAAGUUUUCAGUAGAAUACAUUAUUUUAUAUUCUGUUUUCCUCUUUGAAUCUUGGGUUUUCACAUGAUUCCUUUCUUUUUGUUGUGGAAAGCCUUAUCAGAUGUCUUCUUUCUUAAUAUAAUAAAACUUCUUAGAUUCGGAACCAAUAUUGUUUAGUACAUAACACAUGUAAGUCAAAUUAAAAAAAACAAAAGUUAUUUCCUUUUUUCUUUCCUUGAACUUUGACUUGCUAUAAGAUUGUCUAAAUAAGAUAGCCUAAAUGUACAUUUUAAAAUCUAAUGUUUGUUAAAUUGCUAUAUGAAAAUCUAUUUAUUAUUUUAUUUAAAGUAGGAUAACUUUUUCGAUGGUUUCCAUUUAAAGAAAAUUGAUAAUAGAAGGUACUAAAUAUAGUUAAUUUUUCUUAAAUGAAUAAAAUUCAAAAUGUUGUAUCUCAAUUUGAAUGAAAUAAUAUGUUGAUUUUUGAAAUAAAAGUUUGAAUAAUAUUAGAUAUUGAAGUUAGAUUUGGUAAUUUUGGACACGACACAUUAACACGAUAAGAGAAGAUACGAGUUAAAUAGGUUUUUGGUUUACUUUUAACGUGUUUUGUAUUUGACACGACAAACACGUUUACUUAAUCGUGUUAUGUGUUUAAACGUGUAUACAUGACACGUUUAUUAACUUAUUAAACAUUAAUAGUUAAAAAUUAUUUUAAUGGCAAUAAAGGUCUAUUGUCUUUAAUAGCACAUCAUUAGUACAAUUAAAGCCCACUCUAAUACAAAUUAUCACAUUUCAUAUAAACUUGUAAGGUAUUGUUCACUUUCACUCGCUAACGUCAUGGUUGUUUUCCUAUAAAAAGCGCCCCACAUGUUGAAAAAGGUGUGAACCUUUCAAUAUUGUCUCAUCUAACUCUAGUGUCUGGUAAUGUGAGAUUAAUAACUCGUUAUUGAGAUCAUAAUAUCUUUCAUUACUGAAUAUUAAACUUUAUUGAGUUGUUAAUGCAAAUAUUGAAUCUAAUAUGGAAUCAAUUAAUUGAAUUAAUAAAUCCUUAGUGUCAUCGUUAAGGUUUGAUAAAGAUGUUUAACGUGUAUGUAUAGUAAGUAUCAUGGACACCAAAUAUGUUCUUUGUUUUGCUUUUUAUAGAACAUUUUUUGAAUAUAAGAUUAUUAAAAUGGAUCUUAUUUAUGAAUAUGUGUUAAGUAUUUUUAAUUGGUAAAUACCACGAAAUUAUGAGUAUUUUAAUCAUAUUUUGUUUUUAUAGAAAAUUUUUUUUACUUCUGUUAAUAUUAAACUUUGUUGAGUUGUUAACACAAAUAUAUAGUCAAUUAAUUGAAUUAAUGAAUACUUACCAUCAUCAUAGAGAUUUGAUAACGAUGUUAACCGCAUAUGUAUAGUAAGUAUCAUGAACACUAAAAAUUUUCAUUGGUUGCCUUUUUUAGAACAUUUUUGAACUUUUAUAAGAUUAGUAAAAUAUGUGUAAAUAUUUUUAAUUGGUAAAUAUUGUGGAAUUAUGAGUAUUUUAAUCACGUUGUGUUUUAUACAAAUUUUGUAUACUUCCAUGAAUAUUAAGCUUUACUGAGUUGUUAGUGCAAAUAUUGAAAUAAUUAAUUGAAUUAAUGAAUUCUUACUGUCAUCAUUAAGAUUUGAUAAAUAUAUUAACCGUGUGUGUAUAGUAAGUAUAAUGGACACUAAAAAUGUUGGUUGUAUUACCUUUUAUAGAGCAUUUUAAAAGGUAAUACAACGAAUAUUUUUGAACCUUCAUCAUAUUAGUGAAAUAGAACUUAUUUUUAAAUAUACAUCAAUAUUUUUAAUUGAUACCUUUCAAAAAAAUAUUUUUAGUUGAUAAAUAUCGUGAAAUUAUAAGCAAUCACAUUUUAUUCUUUAAAUGAAAUUUUUUUAAACCCAUGAAUAGUAAACUUUAUUGUGUUGUUAAUUCAAAUAUAUAAGCAAUUAAUGGAGUUUAUGAAUCAUUAAUGUCACUAGUAAUAUUUGAAGUAACUAUAUCAGAACUUACAAAAUAAAAAUAAUAUUAUUAAAGAUGAGAAAAGUAACAAUAAGUUACAAUUCAAUUAUAUUUAUUACAUUUCAUUUUAUAGAACAAUUUUUUCACUUAUAUGUUAUUAGUAAAAACUGACCGAGUUAUCGCACUGUCGAGGAAAAAAAAAUAUCAUGGGUUAAAAAGGAAAAAGAAAACUGACACCCCACCCCGAACCCUUAAAAUUCGUACCCAUUACGGCUAGUACAACCCAUCAAAACUUCAGCAAUGCCAAAGUCGUUAACGUUUUCGUACAAAAAGAAAAAGAAGAAACAGGGCCAUAAAGACUCAUCCGACAUUUUGUUAAAGGAAUGAUGGCAAAUUCGUCAUUAAAAGCCACGUCUUAGCCGUCACUGUCCUUUCACCUAUAAAAUGAGGCAUCGUAUACACACGUCUUCCAAAGUCUUCGCUCUGUGGCUUUUAUAAAGAAAGGCUCACUUCUCUUCAACUGGUUUUUCGGAGAGUCAUUUCAAAAGUCUCCACCGGUAACCAUAUCAUCUUUGUAUUCUGUUUCUCGCCUUCUGAAAUUUCAUCUUGACACUAUCUCUCUGUCGUUUAGCGGCAAUGUCUGGACGUGGGCCGGGAAGGGACUCUGGUAGAGGUCAAGCGUCGCCGUCUCUCUCUCGCGGUGGCGGCAAUGCUAGAGGAAGAGGUCGUGAAGCUAGUGGAGGACGUGGACCCUUUGGUCCUCCUCCUUAUUCCUCUUACACUCCGUCUCCUCCUCAGGUUGCUCCUACUCAGCCACCUCCUCCUUCUGCUCCUUCGACGUCUACGGCUCCGGCGUAUCAUCCUCCGUCGAGUUCUGGUGCGGAAUCACUGAUGAGAGAGGUCUCGGAAAAGCUUACAUUGGAGCCAGAGGCUGCGACGAUCGCGCCUCCUCUUCCUCAGUCGUUGUCAAAGGCGAUUAGGUUCUCGCAAAGGCCAGGUGUAGGUCGGGAAGGUAAACAAUGCUAUGGUAGAGCCAAUCAUUUCCUCGUUAAGGUUGCUGACAAAGAUCUUCAUCACUACGAUGUAACUCUCUCUCUUCUCCUCUCUGUCUUUCCCAUUGAUUUUUAGCCACUCCUACUCUUGUCAUAUGUCGGCCUUCCUUUUUUGUUUUAAUCGUUUUAUUUUUGUAAUUUUUUUCUCUUUUGUUCUUUUUUGCUUAUAUCUCUGUCCUUUUUUUUUUGGUCGUGGAAGGCUUCUAGUAAUUUCUUUUAUAGAUUGUUUUUAUAUUUUAAUUUGUGUUAGAAGCCAAUUAUGGAAGAUUUUAACUGUUAAUUAUAUGCUUAAAUUAUUUACGCUAUUUUCUUUAUUCCCUAUUUUUUGAGUUUUAUUGGUUUCUUCUGUUUGGUUAUUUAUUUACCUCAUUGCCAUCUCUGUUUUCUUUUUCAUUUUUUUCUUUUCUAUUUUAAUGGCUUUUGGUACUUUAUUACGUAUUAUAGGUUUCUAUAACUCCUGAGGUAACCUCAAAGAAGAUGAACAGAUUUAUAAUGCAACAAUUCGCUGAGUUGUACAAGCAGUCCCACCUUGGUGGUUGGUGUCCAGCCUACGAUGGCGGGAAGAGCUUGUACACAGCUGGUGCUCUGCCUUUUAAGUCAAAGGAGUUUCUUGUUACGAUAAUCGAUGAAGACCAAGGUCGUAGUUCAUCUAGUAAAGCAAGGUAAUAUUGUUUUAUACUAUGAUGGUGUCUAUAUGAAAUUUCGUUUUUAUUAUCGUUUUUGUCUAAGGGUUAUUGGUCUGGUUGCCUGUUAUUGCAGGAAGGAACGGGAAUAUAAGGUGGCGGUCAAAUUGGCAUCGAAACCUGAUCUUCAUUGUUUGCAGGAGUUCUUGCUUGGAGGGCAUUUGGAAGCUCCUCAAGAAACUAUUCAAGCGCUGGAUGUUGUUCUUAGGGCUAAACCAUCUGAGAAGUACUCGCCUGUUGAUAGAAUGUUAAGCAUUUGUUGUUAGUAAUUAUACGCCUCUGUAGCGGAUAAAUCUACUUGAAACUUCCUUUUGCAGUUAUACUGUGGUAGGAAGGUCAUUUUUCCACCCAGAUUUAGGUGGUAAAGGAGAGCUUGGUAAUGGAAUCGAUUAUUGGAAGGGGUAUUAUCAGAGUCUUCGGCCCACUCAAAUGGGUUUAUCUCUUAAUAUUGGUAGCUAUUCCAUGCUUGUUGUUCCUUCUUAAGAUUUGUGUAGCAACUUGUACUUAAUGUUUUAGUUGUAGUUGAACUGGUUUUCCUUUGCAAAUCUCUGGUUUUGCUUUACAGAUGUGUCUGCUCGAUCAUUCUAUGAGCCACUUUUAGUUUCGGACUUUGUUGCCAAACAUUUCAAGUAUACAAGCUUUUCAAGACCUCUGUCUGAUCAAGAUUGUGUUAAAGUAUCAUUCUCCUUAUCUCUCUGUUCUUACUCUUUGUAUAGUCACUUAUUUGUUUCAAAGUGUUUUAUAUCAUCAAAGUGGUUGAAUUUCUUAUAGGUUGUUUCUAUUGCCAUGAUUUUUAGGUGAAAAAGGCCCUGAAAGGGGUGAAGGUGCGACUUACGCACAUGAAGUAUGGUGCAAAAACUUGCAAGAUCGUUGGCAUAUCCAAAUUGCCAAUAAGAGAGUUAACGUGAGUUUGUUAUAAUUGCUCAUAAUUUUCUGAAGCUAUUUGACAUACUAAAGUACCUUUUUUGGGCCGGUAUGGUAGAACUGUUUUUGGGUGAUCUGACGUUCUGUCACAAUUGGAUGCUUGUGGCAGUCUCAUAUGUUUACUACCCAAAUAAGUUCCAUAUUCAAAUCGAUCAGAGUUAAUAAUCAACUUGUUCCAGAAUAUAUUUCAUGCUAGAUAUGUGAGUCAAUAGCUACCAUCUUCGCUGUGCAAAGAACCGGUCUGGAUAAUGCUGAAAAGUAGAUUUUAAAAUAUUUGAAUGGGAUUGUGAGGGAUAUCUCGGGAACAUAGAGGUGCUUUACAAGAUGAGGAUUUCUGUAAUAAGAAAAAUGAUUGUAUAACACUUGAUUCCUGAACCUUAUUUUCUCUGUUAUAUUGUCAUCAAUGAUGUAGUACUCUUUUUUUUUCAUUAAUAUAACUCCUGUUCUCUCUUCCUAUUUAGUCUUAUUAUACUUUUGUGCAAUUUUUGGUUUUGCUAGGUUUACUCUUGACGACAAGAAAACAAAUGUGUCUGUGGUUCAAUAUUUCCUUGAAAAUCACAAAAUUGAGCUUAAACAUGCAUCGUUGCCUGCCCUUCAAUCUGGAAGUGAAGCAAAACCUGUUUACUUCCCAAUGGAGGUUCAGUUUAUAUGGAUAUGGAAUUAUUUUCUUCUUAUAAUUUUUUUACCUCUUUCUUUACUGAUAAUUUUUACCCUUCUCUCCUAAAUGAUUUUGUUUGUUAUGCAGCUGUGCCAGAUUGUUGAAGGACAGAGAUACACAAAAAUGCUAAAUGAUCAACAAGUGAGAGCUCUGUUGAAAGCAACCUGUAAACGUCCACCUGAUAGGGAGAGGGACAUUAGAAGGGUACAGCAACAUUGAGAUACUCACUUUUUUGUUGAUUAAUUAAGAGCAAUGAUGUGACUUGGCAUAUCAUGUUGCUGCAGAUGGUGAGCAAUAAUAAUUUUAACGGAGAAGAGCGUGUAAGUGAAUUUGGAAUUCAUGUUGGACAAGAACUUGCACUCGUUGAAGCGCGAGUUUUGCCUGCUCCAGUGGUAAGUUCAUCCCAAAAUGCUAUAUUUCAAGAGAAAUCAUGCUUGGUAUUUUAUUAUGAAAUAUGAUGUUCGUAUGUUUUGGUUGCUGCAGCUUAAGUAUCAUGAUACUGGACCAGAAAAAAGUGUUAAACCUAGUAAAGGGGCAUGGAACAUGAUCAACAAGGUGCUAUACUAGUUUUCUUUGACUGUGUCGUUCAUUUCCUUUGGAAUAAAAAAAUAGAGAAACCAGAAAGAAGUCAAGAUGAUUGGGUCAGCCCUUUCUUCUUGCACCAAAGAUUAAAUUUCCAAGGGAACUGGAGUUGCACAUGUUUCCGCAUUGUAUAUUUGACAUUGUGAUGUGUCUUAAAUUCUUUUCGGGGAUUUAUAUUGGAUAAGCUCUGGGCGUGAUUGGAGCAUUCAUAAUACUAUAUCCAGCCGAAAAUUUGCGGAAUGAUGCUUUUCUUGGCUUUGAGGUUUAGAAGAAUGGUGGUCUCUUUGAAGUUACUAGUAACAGAACCCUAUUUACAUUGUCCUUGGAACCUGAAGGCAAUUGUAGUCAUUUGUAUGAAGUGUUGCUGUACCAGGAUUUUCACUGAUUAUUUUUUUUGUUUUUUUGUUCUGCAGAAAAUGGUCAAUGGUGGAGAAGUGGAUAAUUGGACUUGUGUGAACUACUCCUCAAAUUAUGCAAAUAGUUCAAAUGACUGCUGUACACGAUUGGUGGAAAUGUGUAUUAACAAAGGAAUGGUAUGCUGUGCCGUUUCUUGCAAGCAGAUUUUUUGUUUGUUAUUAAGUAAUUGACUGACUUGAUUUUCAUCUGCUUGUUAUACAAGGUAUUUCGCCAUACGGCUGCUGUCCCUAUCCGUUCAGCUCAUCCUUUUAGAAUUGAUCAAACUCUCCUAGAUGUUUACGAGGAGUCUACAAGCCAAAAGAGGCCCUUAAGUUGUUGAUAAUUAUUUUACCUGAUCAGAGUGGCUCAUAUGGUAAGAGAUCCAGAUUUAAAAAGUAUCUAGUUUCUCUUCACAACUAAAAUCUUUUUGCUUGCAGGGAAAAUUAAACGAAUACGUGAGACGGAGUUAGGUAUAGUUUCUCAAUGUUGUAAGCCCAAGCAACCUUCAAAAUUAAGCCUUCAAUAUUUUGAAAAUCUUGCUCUGAAGAUCAAUGUGAAGGUAGUUUUUCUACCUCAUUGGUUAUUAGCGAUUUAUGAUAUUGGCUUCUUUUGGUAUUUUUUUAGUCAUUUUUGAGAAUUGUAAAUUUACUAGGUUGGGGGACGAAAUACUGUGCUGAAUGAUUCCAUUGAAAAAACAAUUCCUCUUGUGACUGAUGUCCCUACAAUUAUAUUUGGUGCGGAUGUCACUCAUCCACAACCUGGGGAAGAUUCUAGUCCUUCAAUAGCUGCAGUAAGCACGGUCUUGUUCACCAUUGUCUCUUUUCUAUUUCUGCAUCUUGUUAAAAGGUAAUUGACUGGUUGCAGGUGGUUGCUUCAAUUGAUUGGCCAGAGAUAACUAAGUACCGAGGAAUAGUCUCUGUACAGCCUCAUCGGGAGGAAAUAAUCCAGGAUCUCUAUAAAACAGUUCAGGAUCCUCAUAAGGGUGUUGUUCAUAGUGGAAUGAUUAGGUAUGGAGGUGAAUAUGGUUUUAUUUUUAGGACCAUGUUAUAGUGUUAUUGGAAGAUGUCUGCUUCCUUCUAUCAAGAAUAACUUGUUUUCUUCAGGGAAUUGCUUAUUGCUUUCUACAAAUCAACUGGAAGAAAACCUUUAAGGAUUAUUUCUACAGGUAGCCUUUGUUUCUGAUCACCCAAUUCUUGAAUGUUUUUAGUGGCAUUGUUGAUCUUGGGUUUUUUAAUUUGGCAUAGAUGGUGUUAGUGAAGGCCAAUUUAGUCAAGUUUUGCUCUAUGAAAUGGAUGCAAUUCGAAAGGUAUUUUAAAGGUUUGUUUUUAGGGGUAGAAGGGGGUACAGGGUUUGCAGAACUUUUCUCUCACUUGGACUAAGUAACAGCUCAGUGUCUUUUGAAAAAAAAAAAUUAUUGAGCCUGCCAUCAGCAUGAACUAUAAGUAUUGUCUUAUAAACUAAAAACUCCUAUUAUUUUGAAUGCUAUGGAGUCUGUUAUAUGGUUUUUUGUAUAUCAAACUACUGGAGUAUUUAUUUAAAAUGGAAAAUACGAAGAAUGUAUGGAGUUCAUGAUUUUUCAACUAGCAGAGCAUGCUUAAUAAUGUCACCUACUUUUUAUUUGUGCAAUGUUUGGUGUUUGGGCUUGCUGAUGCCAGCAAUUGUAUGUCUUCCAGGCUUGUGCAUCAAUGGAGGAGAAUUAUAUGCCACCUGUUACAUUUGUUGUGGUGCAGAAGAGGCAUCAUACUCGCUUAUUUCCGACUGACAGUGCCCCAACAGAUAAGAGUGGCAAUAUCGUAGCAGGUAAUAAAUGUUAUAAUAAGGAUUGAUCAUAUUCUUUGGAUCUCCCUUGCUGCUGUACUAUAUUAACUCUUUACCACAACCAUGUUUUGCAGGUACUGUUGCUGAUACUAUGAUUUGCCACCCCACAGAAUUUGAUUUUUUAUCUCAAUAGUCAUGCUGGAAUCCAGGUUAACUAGGCUUGCCUUCUAAUAUAAUGAUCAAUUUAUAUAAUUAUGAUAUGUUUCUUCUGUCUUGUACUAGUUUUUCUUUUUAAUUGGUAUUCACUAUUUUUGUUAUGUAGGGAACAAGUAAGCCCACUCAUUACCGUGUCUUGUAUGAUGAAAACAAGUGUACUGCAGACAGCUUGCAAGUGCUCACAAAUAAUUUGUGUUACACGUAAUGAAUUUACAUCUUUCUUUAUAAUCUGAAAUAGUGUGAACAGAUAAUUUUUAUAUAGUUCUUCUUAUUAUAUAAUAAUUCUUCUCAUUUAUAGGUAUGCAAGGUGUACUCGGUCGGUUUCCAUAGGUUGGUGAUCUGUUCGUUAACUACUCUUAAAUCUGUUUUCAGGUUAUCAUCCAUUUAUUCCUAAGGCAGUGUUAACAGAUAAUAUUAUGAUUACAUUUGCAGUGCCUCCUGCAUAUUAUGCUCAUCUAGCAGCUUUUCGGGCACGCUAUUACAUAGAGGAUGAAACUGCAGAUAGUGGCUCUGCAGAUGCAAGACGGAAUGUAAGAGACAGAAACGUGGAGGUUCGGCCUCUCCCAAACAUCAAAGAAAAUGUGAAGGAAGUCAUGUUUUACUGUUGAAUAGGCAUGUCUUUUUUUGUUUAUGUUUUUAUUUGAGUUUCUACCACCAAUGCAUAGUUGGUUAUCUUGAAGCCUUCAACACCAUACAUAUAUGUUACAUUUACAUUCGCUUGAGUUAAUAUUGCCAAUAACUUUUGAACAAUUUGUUUAUUUCAGUUACCAAAGUUAAAUGUGGCUGUGUACAGAGUAAAAUUAUUCUCAGAAUUAUGUUUAACAAAAAAUAUGUUUUGAAAUAUGAUUUUUUUUUUUUGCCUUUGACAUGCAAUUGUAUUGAGCUAUUUGCUACCUGAGGGGCUAAACUAAAAUGUUAUAAAUCAUACUUUAUUAGUCCUUCCAUAUAUCUAUUAUUUUCUCUCUUUUUAACUCUUGCAUAGUAGACAUGAAUCUUGAUCGAUUUUGCAUUAGUAUUCUCUAGCCAUUUCCAGAAUAAGAGUGAGAAAAUGGAUUGUAAGAACAAGUUGUUUUUGGUGCACAUGAGUUAGUUUAAGUGGAAGGGUCCAAGAAGAAUAGUUAGGAAAUGGAAAAUAGAAUUUGCUUUUGAUCAUGUGAAGAAGUUCGGGGAACAGAUUGGAACUGUGGAUCUCACCUUCUUCGAAGAAGACUAAACCAAGCUUACAUUGUUAUAUAACUGUUAUAGUAAUAAAGGGGAUAUUAGCCAAACCGAUAGCCAAUCGUGAUAGUUUAACUGAAUUCUAGAUUUCCAAACCUAAGCCACCCUAUAGCAUCAAAUAUCAGUACGAGAAAAAAAAUACUAAAUUAAUUGAUCAUAAUGACCACAUUUUCUUAAUGCAAUACCAUAUCAAAAAGAAAUAAUUCACUAUUCGAAAUAAAUGCAAAAAAAAAAAAAUCAUUGCAAAAAUAUUCUAGUUUUGCAUAAAAUAGAUAUGGUUCCUACAUAGUUCGUUAUAGUUCCUAUAUAUAAGAUAGAUAUGGUAGUUCAUUAGUUCCUAUACAUAAAAUAGAUAUACGUUUCCUACGUAGUUCAUUAGUUCCUAUGUUCUAUCCUGUCCUGGAUUUGUUGGCCUUUCAAGAAAAAUGCAUUCCCUCCUCCACUUGGAUAGCUAGCUUUAGUUGUCCAUUUCCAAAUAGCACUUUCGUUUUUCUUUUCCGUAGCUUGAUGGUUCUCUAAAAGCCAAAAGGAUUAAAGGCUGAAAAAGCAGCAGUUGCUGUUGGCACCCGCACAACCCCUUCGUUGUUCCCUACUAUUUGAUGUCCAUUUCUCAUGUUAUUUGCACCAACAACCCUCUGCAAUCUACAAAAUAAUCCCGUUAAACAUUUACUGUGAUGCAAUUGUAAAUUUAUAGAUAUAUAUAAAAGAUUGGGUGCAAAUAAUGACAGGAUAAGUUAGGAAAAGGAAGAGGAAAAUACCUGUGGAUAUGAAUGCUGAAAUGGGUGAUUGCGAUCAUGGGCAAUCGUAUGCCCAUUCAUCCUCUCCCAUGUUGACUUGCAAAGCCUGCAAUCUGUGCAAAAACCUGGAAGUAUCGACACUGUGAAGUUUAGUAUUCAUCAUCAAACAUAAAGAUGAAGUGAGCCUAUCAACUCAUAAUCAUACUUAUACAAUGGUUUCUAGUUAAUGAAAGACUUAUCAUAAUAAUUAAACAUCGGAUAUGUUGGAGCAAUUGGAGUGUUGAAGGGUCCUGGUACUCCUCCCAUUGUUCGCUGCGUGUGAGCAAUUUGACAAAAAUAUCUUCUCUCCUGUUUAGUCUGUGCCAUAUGGAUACAUGUAGAGGCUUGCGGUGAAACAGGAUACCUACAAGCAAUCAGGUAAUUAACUCAUUAAAGCUCCUUUAUCAAACACAAAAGGAUCAAGGGAAUCCUGUGACGCUGUCACAUUAUAGAUGCACCAUGGAGCAAAAAAGAAAUGCAAAAUACUAUAAAAGUUGCCUACUUAUUAAGGGAUUUUAAGGGUAAGUUUGGAUCCCAAAGUUAACUCCAGAAAUUUUAUACCAUAAUCAAAAUAAAAAAACUUUUAAAACUUUUGAAGAUUUGGAAAAAGAUAAAUACUAAAAUCAAAUUGAAAUUAAUAAGCUACAUUUGCAUACUUAUCAUUGAAGAUUCUGAUAGUUUGUUCAGCUUUUUCAAGCUUGGAAAAACAUAAAAAAUCAAAACCCUUCUUCUUGAAAUUAUCAACAUAACUAGAGCAUAUAGAAAAGAUCUAUAGAUACUGUGAGUACAUGUUCAGUUACCAGCAGAGAAAAGCGAAGCUUAGAAAAAUAUAGUAGUUUUACGGAUUUUUGCUUUACAUACAUAUUCUUCCCUUUGAUAUCGCGACCAUUAAGUUCUUCAAUAGCUUUUUGGGCAGAUUCUGGUGUUUCAAACUGAACAUAGCCGUACCCUUUGCUGUUUCCAUUGUCAAACACUUGAACUUUUCAAGACAAAAUAUUUCCAUAGUUUGCAAAAAUUGCUUGAAGCUUCAUGUUGUCGAUUGAGGAGUCCUAGUUCUGCCAAGUAUCCAAGUUUCCCAAUCAAUAUAUAAAAGCAAACGUCUAAUUAACAUAAAAUGCUUCACUCCAUCAAAAAGAAUAUAGAAAUACGUACCUCGACAAAAAGAUUUGCAUCAUCAUUGGGUUUAUACUCAUCAUGUGGCCACGUCAUUCGAAUGGCUUUACCAUUCAUAAGUGUAUUGUUCCUUGUAGCCAUGGCUACCAUUGCUGAUCAUCAGGAGAAAAAAAAAAUUAAAUUAAAGUAUGCAAAUUGAUAAUAAAUAUUUAUAUAUAUAUAAUGUAAGCAAGCAUGACCCUGAUGUACAUCUUAGUUUGUUAAGUCUAAUUAACUUAUGGUCCCAUGCAUGGCGUAAAGAAGAAACGCAGUAUGAUGCAUCAUUGUUUGUUGAUUGCAAGAUCUGCUAUCUAUAUAUACUUAACUAAUUUAUGAUCAUUAAAGGAAUUUCAUAAGAGAACAAUAGAUGACAAUAAUAUCAAAUAUAUAUUUAAUGGCAGAAAAGAAAAAAUAUUUAACAUAUCGAUUAAUGCUUUUUUCAAAAUUUUUAAUAUUUUUUGCCAACAAAAUACCCAAUGCCUCAUUCUUGACUUGAUCACUACUUGUCAUAAAAUAUAAUCUCUACAAAUUUACUCGAUAAAUUAAUAAUUUUGGUUAAAUAAUAUUUUUUGUCAAUAUCGAUAUAGGGUCAAUAUGAUAUAUAAAUAAUUUAUUAAAUUCAUAAUUUACUAAAAUUAGAAGAUAAUACAUUUUUAAAAAAGACACAUAAAUCCUACUUGAUAUAUAAAUUAAUAGUUUUUUUAUACAUCAAGAUUAUAUAUACAUAUGUCUCAAUUAGGAAAUCAAUGUUAUUUGUUUUUUUUUUAAAUUGAUGUCUCCUUAUAUCUUAUCUCUAACUUUUCUUACUUUAUUAAAAAGCUCUAAUGUAACUUUCUCUAAUUAUAAAAUAAAAUUAUACAAUGUAAUUAUUAUUUUGAGUAUGUCUUUACAUGAGACAUGUUUUAAUACAGAACUAUCAUCUUAAUUGAUAUAUAAAUUAAUAAAUUAUUGAUUAAAUAAUAUCUUAAUUAAUUAAUAAAUUUUUAUGAUCACUUGGAUAUUAAUUUAUAGAAAUAUAACUAUAUAUGCUUAUUUAGGCUUUCAGUUUAUAAUAAGCUUGCUUUUCGAAGCUUAAUGAAAGUAGUUUUCAAAACGACAACCUUUUUCCGCGCACAACGCCAAAUACGGCAAAAAUUUAUUUCAAAGAUUUCAAAGAUCCAAACCCUCCAAACUUUGCACAAAAGGGCGUCAAACGAAGAUAUUUGGCGCCUAAACAAACAAAUCCUAUUGGUCCUUUCCAUUUCACGCGGAUUACAAUCCCCGGCACUCCCUCUUUCCACCGUACGAUCAAAGAAAAAAAAGAGAAAGAUCCUCCCUCCACUUCAAAAUUUCCAAAUUUUCGAAUCUCCCACGCUGCUAAGCUCCUUUAUAUAAAACCCCCUAAAUCUCCACCCAAACUCGGCAUCCAAAAUCUUCUCUCAUAAUCUCAAGAGGCAAACAGCAAGUCACUAAAUCUCCUUUCCACUUUUCACUUUCCAAAUGGCUCGUACUAAGCAAACCGCCAGAAAAUCCACUGGAGGCAAGGCACCAAGGAAGCAAUUGGCCACCAAAGCCGCUAGAAAAUCAGCCCCAGCCACCGGCGGAGUUAAGAAGCCACACAGGUUCAGGCCAGGAACCGUGGCCUUGCGUGAAAUCCGAAAGUACCAAAAGAGUACCGAACUCCUAAUCAGGAAACUCCCAUUCCAAAGGCUGGUGAGGGAAAUUGCCCAGGAUUUCAAGACCGAUCUGAGGUUCCAAAGCAGCGCCGUUGCGGCUCUUCAGGAGGCGGCUGAAGCUUACUUGGUGGGUCUCUUCGAAGACACCAAUCUGUGUGCCAUUCACGCUAAGAGGGUUACUAUUAUGCCUAAGGAUAUCCAGUUGGCUCGUAGGAUUAGGGGCGAGAGGGCUUAGAUUUACUUGCUUUAGUUUUGUAUUUGUUUUGUGUGUUUAGGGUUUAAUGUGGGAAAUAUGGAGGUGUAAAGCUGUGGGGAAUUAGAUGGUAAUUUGAUGUUUAGAGUGGGAUUAAGGUUAAUGUCCUUGAAUGCUAAGUGUUUGUUAUUGGAAAUGGUUUUUAUUACGGAAAUGAAUUACCUUUUCUUAAUUGGGGAAUUAAUUGGUUUUGUUAUUGUCCUUGAUCGGGAUAUUGGCUUUCUUUUUCCUAACUUCUGGUUGAGUAGUUUGACCUUUUUUUUUUAAUUUGACUCAUUUUGUGGUGCUACUGAUAUCUCCCUGUUUUCUAUUGAAAGCUAACGGAUACAACACUACGUAAGAACAGUGUCUGCUUUUGGUUUCUCCACCCUUCUUUCAUACACUUUUGCAUCAGUUUUUCUAUCUCUCUUCUUUUUUUUUUUUUUUUGCACUGUUGUGGUAAAAUAUCAUUUGCUCCUUUUACAAUAAAAGAGCAAUUCUAUUCUGUUUCACAUCUUAUGAUUUAUUUUUUAAUAUUACUUUAUUUGAAUAUUAAUCUAUCAUUUUAUCUUUAUUUAGACGCAAUAUUUUUUUUAUUUUUUCAUAUGUUAAAUAGAUAAGUAAAAAUAAUUGAAUGUAAUGAUGGGAUAUCUAGCUAAUUUAAUUUCAUUAAUUUUUUUCAAUUUAAAUAAAUCUUAUCUAAAAAGUAAUUUUGUCUCGUUCUAGUGAUAAAAGUGUACAUUAUGAAUUAUAAUGAUUUAUAUUUAUGAAUUUUGAUUAGAUUGACAUUUCAAUGAUCAUUUUUGGCUUAGCUCAAAUAGUGUGAGCUUAUGAUUGUGAUUGUUAGAGUAAUUAUAUGGAGUAAAACAAAAGUUUGAUUACUUUAUUUGUGUGAUUGAAUUGGUGUUGAAAUUAAUACACAUGUAGUAGUUAAACUUUUAUAUAUUGUUCAUGUGAACAAAUUUUUUUUUAAAAAAAGCAUUUUUGUUCAACAAAUUUCACUUUAAUUUUGAUGGAAUGUUGAUCAAAUAUAUAUCAUACCUAAAAUAAUUUAUCACUUUUCAUUAAUAUUAUUUUUUUUCGAAAUCAAUAAAUGUUCAAGGAAAAAUGCCACAAAGCUUGAUUUGUAUUAAAAAAACAGAGGUACCUUUGGGCCAGGCAUAUGAGGUCAUAUGACCACAAAGCAAAAGCCUAUUUUACACUGGGGAUGGCUCUUGUACCUCAGAAUGCAAAUCCACAAAGCCCAAGUGCAGGGGCAGAGCCUGGCCCCUUCACACUCACACAAUCCCCCACUCAAUAAAGCUCAAAUCUUGUAAAAUUUAUUUUCUCCUUUUAAUUGGUUGCUUAAAAAACAAUUGGGACCCCCCCGGCCCCCCUUUUUUUUUCUUUGCACUUCAGCAAUAACUUCACUGUAUUAUCAUUCAUACAAUAUUUUAUAUGUUCUUUUCCGAUUUUCUAGACUUUUUAGGUUUUGAAUACUAUUAUUGUAUUAUGUUCUCCAAAUUAAAACAACAAAAGUGGCCUGGUACUCGGAGCAAGGACUGAGAUGCUGAGAUGGCACACUUGGUCUUGUCUCAGCAUAUUCCAUUUGCACAAUUCUUAGAAAACCAGAGAAUUUUGAUAAUUAAUUGCCUUCAAAGGAAGUUUUGUAUAUUGUGCAAUUCACAACUAUUCAACGUAAUGGUCUAAAAAAUAAAAAGGUUUUAAUUUCUAAUAUUUUUUCUUUACGAGUAAGGUAUUAAGUUAACAAAGGUACGGGGAAGGAUAUACGAUUGAUUAUAUUUGUAAAUUUUCUUUCACAUGAAAUUCAAUCCCUGUCACAAAAAAGUCAGAAUUUUAUUAUCCUCUCAAUAUUUAGUUAGGGAUAUGGUUAAGAUUUUGAAAUUCCAUGGCUUUUCUAGGUGAAAUUUUAUUACUUUCUUUAUCUUUUUUUCUUAAAAAAUAAUUUAAUCCAAAGUUUACAUGCUGUUUGGUAGACAACUGAACAUUUUCAGCUAAAGAAUUAUUUUUUAAAAAAUUCCACAUGCUUCAAAUCAUAUAUGCUUCUAAUUAGAUAUUUAUUUUAAUUGGUAGUAUUAUAUAUAUUGAGAAGCAAAAUUAAGAUUUAAAAGACUUAAAGGAAAUGAAAAAAAUUAACCCAAUAAUUCUCUCUUGUCAUUUUGUGAGAAUUAACACGUGGAAAGAACAAAAGGCAAAGGACAUGAGUGGCGAAAACCAGGCUAUAAAGCAGAAACCAAACCCCAUUUAUUUGCUCCUAUUGCAGGAAUUGAGCUUCCUUUUGCCCAAGGUCCAUCCAAGAUAAAAAUGACCCCCCCAUCUCCAUCUUUCAUGUGCUGUAUCAUAUAUAAAUACGAAACAAGACGAGGCAAAUAAAAUCCAAGUGUUGGGUCUUUCACACGUAGGGUCCAAAAGCAGGGCAAAAAGGGCACAAAAAUUAUUCUUUUAUUGGCAUUAAAAUACUUAAUUUAACAGUUGUAAAUUGGAUUUUCCUCAGAAAGAAGGUUGUCAAUUUGGAAGAUGAAUGGUGCACAAUAUCCAAAGGUUUCUAAUGAUUAGAUGAUGGGGAGAUUGCUAGUUUACUUGAUCGUACGGACAUCUCUUAAUCAUUCUCCUUUGUUUCUGCAAUUUUACAAGUUGAUCCGAGAAGAAAAAAGGGCACAGUCCAAGUAUUACAAGAUUUUUUCCGUCCACUAUAUAUGUAGUUGGUUCCACUGUGUUUCAAAUGUGGCAAAAGCCAUUCACAAAAAGAAGUUUUCAGUAGAAUACAUUUCUUUAUAUUCUUUUUUCCUCUUAAUUUGAAUCUUGGGUUUUCACAUGAUUCUUUUCUUUUUGUUGCGGAAAGCCUUAUCAGAUGCCUUCUUUCUUAAUAUAAUAAAACCUCUUAGAUUCGGA
rnacentral:lncRNA from 1 species